rnacentral:tRNA from 1 species
GCAGGGGUGGGAGAGUGGUUAAAUCCAGCGGUCUGUAAAACCGCCGCCUUACGGCUACGCAGGUUCGAAUCCUGCCCCCUGCACCA